CCUACGGGUGGCAGCAGUGAGGAAUAUUGGUCAAUGGGCGAGAGCCUGAUCCAGCCAAGUCGCGUGAAGGAUGACGGCCCUACGGGCUGUAAACUUCUUUUGUCAGGGAGCAAUUGGGUCCACGCGUGGGCUUAGCGAGAGUACCUGAAGAAAAAGCAUCGGCUAACUUCGGGCCAGCAGCCGCGGUAAUACGGUGGAUGCGAGCGUUAUCCGGAUUUAAUGGGUUUACAGGGUGCGUAGGCGGAAUAUCAAGUCAGCGGUAAAAAUUCGGGGCUCAACCCCGUCGUGCCGUGGAAACUGAUGUUCUUGAGUGGGCGAGAGGUAUGCGGAAUGCGUGGUGUAGCGGUGAAAUGCAUAGAUAUCACGCAGAACUCCGAUUGCGAAGGCAGCUUGCUGCAGCGGAACUGACGCUGAUGCUCGAAAGCGCGGGUAUCGAACAGGAUUAGAUACCCCAGUAGUC
rnacentral:rRNA from 1 species